GUGAGGAAUAUUGGUCAAUGGCCGCAAGGCUGAACCAGCCAAGUAGCGUGCAGGAUGACGGCCCUCGGGUUGUAAACUGCUUUUAGUCGGGAAUAAAAGGGCGCACGUGUGCGUCGUAUUGCAAGUACCGUCAGAAAAAGGACCGGCUAAUUCCGUGCCAGCAGCCGCGGUAAUACGGAAGGUCCGGGCGUUAUCCGGAUUUAUUGGGUUUAAAGGGAGCGUAGGCGGUCUGGUAAGUCAGCUGUGAAAACGCGGGGCUCAACUCCGCGCCUGCAGUUGAUACUGUCGGACUUGAGUGCACGCAGGGAUGCCGGAAUUCAUGGUGUAGCGGUGAAAUGCUUAGAUAUCAUGAAGAACUCCGAUCGCGAAGGCAGGUGUCCGGAGUGCUACUGACGCUGAGGCUCGAAAGUGUGGGUAUCAAACAGGAUUAGAAACCCUAGUAGUCC
rnacentral:rRNA from 1 species